rnacentral:miRNA from 1 species
AGAAAACAGCUUCUGAGCUGAGGGCAGCUUGCUCUGCUUUUCUUUAGCUUAGGUGCUAACCAUGGU